rnacentral:rRNA from 1 species
GUGGGGAAUCUUAGACAAUGGGGGCAACCCUGAUCUAGCCAUGCCGCGUGAGUGAUGAAGGCCUUAGGGUCGUAAAGCUCUUUCGCUGGGGAAGAUAAUGACGGUACCCAGUAAAGAAACCCCGGCUAACUCCGUGCCAGCAGCCGCGGUAAUACGGAGGGGGUUAGCGUUGUUCGGAAUUACUGGGCGUAAAGCGCGCGUAGGCGGAUCAGAAAGUUGGGGGUGAAAUCCCGGGGCUCAACCCUGGAAUGGCCUUCAAAACUCCUGGUCUUGAGGUCGAGAGAGGUGAGUGGAAUUCCGAGUGUAGAGGUGAAAUUCGUAGAUAUUCGGAGGAACACCAGUGGCGAAGGCGGCUCACUGGCUCGAUACUGACGCUGAGGUGCGAAAGCGUGGGGAGCAAACAGGAUUAGAAACCCUUGUAGUCC